ACACCUAUCCAACUAUACACGCUAUCACCCCACUUUCACCUUCUUCUCUCCCAUUUUUCUCACCAGCCAACUACACCAACAUUCAAUCUUUCGUCCAAUUUUUUUUCCAACAAAAUUAUGUCUAAGAAACCCAUUGAAACGCCUCAAAAGAGUCCCAGAUUGGGUGAAGGAACAUCUAAUGAUGAUGUUCAUGUUUCAAAUUUUAAUAUAUUAACUCA
rnacentral:lncRNA from 1 species